rnacentral:misc_RNA from 1 species
UCGAAACCCGCCACAAGCAACCGUGAACACGUUCUUGCCCCAUGUGGGGCUCGACGGCUGUGCGCAUGCACCAUUCGUCGGGCCUCCGUCCCCUGCUUUCCCUCGUGCGAGCGAGUGCGGUAGGCAGGGCAACCAACCCACGGCGCGGCAAGCGCCAAGGAUCACAAUGGUGGAAUGCUGCCCUAGCACUUAUCCGUUCGCGGUAUGAAGUGCUUGUGGCAUGUGCGCCUUCCUGAAUUGAAUACCUAACUAAC